rnacentral:tRNA from 1 species
GGUCGUGUAGCUCAGUUGGUUAGAGCGUCGUGCUGAUAACGCGAAGGUCGAGGGUUCGAGCCCCUCCCGACCA